CUGAAAAAAUGUAGUCACGUAGUUUUCUUAGACGGUGAACAAGCUGUAUUACAAAGAGCAAAAGGUUUUUUCUUUUGGAGAUACACCGAAAUAUUAAAGAAAUAUUCAGAGAGCGAGACAACAUUGGUUGUGAUGGCUGAACGUUUUUUCCUGCUACUAGUCACCCAUGAGGCACGGAGCAGCCGCGUGAGCACAUUUUGACCAGAGGUCAGGUCCUUUUAGCGGGAACCUAAACUUCCUGGAGCUGCAUUCGAAUAUCGUUGGAUGUCGAUGCUGGAACUGGCGUGAACAGGAAGUUGGGGGAGGUACUCAAUGGAAGGGUAAAUACCAGUGACCUCAGCAGACCAGCUAAUCAUCCACAUCCCACCAGUUUGCAAGUGGACCAACCUUUGUGAAGAACUUGUGGCCACGGAUAUUCUGCGGUGACGGGCGAUCCCGUGGGUCGAUUUGAAAUAUUUUGCCCAUCAGUUUCCCAGCUUCAAUACCGAGGUUCUGGGGUAGAAUAAAUUUAGCUUCUUUGAUGUUCUUUAUCAUUUCACAGCGAUCGUCGUGAUCGAAUGGGAUUUCCCCAACCAGAAGCUGGUACCUGUAGUAAGAAAGGCAGCAAAGGUGUUUGAGGUCUUUCACAUUUGACAUAAAAAUGCUGUGCUUCCAAAAGAGCAAUUCCUCUCAACUGUGUGCCAGUAUUCAUUUUUCUUUUCUAUUUCAAGUAGAAAAAAAAAACAUAUUUAUGUAUGUUAGACGCAUGUCUUCUUAAAAUGUUAGACAGAUUUUAUUAGCCAUGCUGAUCUUUGGCCGGGAGGAGGGUUGAUAGGGUAUACGUACAUGACACAGCCCAGUGCCCAGACUUCUGCUUCCGUUCCAUGGCCGUCUCGUUUCCACACUUCUGGAGCCAUGUAACAUGGAGUACCACACACUUUUCUACAACACACACAAAUGGAAAACGUUAAGCGCACAUGUGCUUUAGCUUGCUGUAUAAACAAAUUUGAAAGCUUAGCCAGGAAUUCUGCAAAAAACACCUACUUCUCCCUCGGCUCCAGCUUGACCGCCAGUCCAAAAUCCCCGAUUUUCAGUUUCAUUUUGUCACUGACAAAUAAGUUUUCUGAAAGACAAACAAAUUUGCAUUAAGGAUAGACUCAAAUACUUUGCCAAACUGCAGACUUUACCAAAUUGAUAAAUGAACACUACACAGAAAUCCAGACGAGCUACACUCGCAAUGCCAUGUGAAAUGCCAGCAUUAUUAAACAGAGAAUUGAGUAAAGCGUGAGUGCAUGUACACAUAUCGAACUAGAUUUCCCUAUGGACAUAAUAUUGCCGGUAGAUGUGUUUUAUCCCCGAUAUCAGCUGUUGAAUGUAAUAGCGGACUUCGGGGUCAAUCAGAGUCCCGCGAGCUUUCAGGAUGUCACCAAGUGUCUGGGCAGGGAGAAACAGGGGCAGCCUGAUCCAUCACAAAGUCUUUGCCUUAGUAAGACGUCUAUAAAAGUCAGGGACUCACCUGCCUACUGCACAACUCCAUGAAAAUAUACAUGAACAGAUCGUCUUCAAAAGAAUGGGAGAAGCCCACAACGUUCUUGUGCCGUGGUUUUUUUCAAAAUUUCCACUUCUUGACACACCUGAGUGAAAUAUCAAACACACCAUCUCAUCAAGUACUGUAACAGGGAAAUGCAGAUAAACUGCAAAGAGGGAUGACAUUAAGCACAAUCCAUACCACAUACCUCCUCCAGUCCCCAGGAAUGUGGAGGUAUGACCAUCACAGCAAAGGUGUCACCACUUUCAAGGUCGGUCAUCUUGUAGCACUUGCCACAAGCACCCUAAAGAACAUGUCAAUAAAGGGCAUUUCUGACUGACCCUGUUCAAGCAUCUCCUCUCCGCAGAAAAAGAUCAACUGUAAUCACUUUCAACAACAACUUUGUGGUGCACACCUGUCCCAAAAGCGGCCAAGACAGCUGGGCAAUUUGAACUUGCUAGAUGGAUUACAUCACCACAUUGAAAAUUCCAUGGACGGAAAAAGAGCUCGCGCGACGUGGCCGAGGGACUUGAGGAGAAUUAUACACUGACAGCAGUGGAGAUGAGAGCGCACUUGAAAUUAUCAGGUAAGAGAGGGUUAAUCGAGCAAAAUGUACAAUUAUUGGUCAGAAAAUGUCGGUCAAAUUUCUAAAUAAUUAUGGCGUACGAAUAAUGAUAUAUCCGUAAAUCGUAUUUUACCGAUUUAAAGAUGUUCAUUAUUCAUUGUAUUGUCACGCCCCCCUCGGGAGAAUGCAGCGGCAGCAGCCACACCUGAGUUACGUCAACUCCCUGUUUAGUUCUGCUUGGCGCUGCAUUAUAUGCAAGGUACUGUUGAGGGUUUUCAUAAGAAGUACAGGGCGGUCUUCCUCCUGUCUACCCCGAUCCGGUCCAUCUGCCUGCUUUGCUGCCAUCCCAUCCCAUCCCAUCCUGAUCCACCCGGACCUCUCCCUUGUACUUGUCCUGCGUCUCGCAUGCCACCUGUAGAACUGGCUUUUGGACUCGAUUGUACUUGCUGAUUCCAGUCCUGUUUGCGUGUUCCCAACAAUAAACCCCGUACAGUACGUUGCCUUCUGUGUCUCUACCAUCCUCCGGGGUUGCAUGUUGUGCAAUACUGUAGUAGCUUGGAUUCAACCAUUAGAUGGCAGUAGUAGCAUAUAGUUGGAGGGAAGUAGAAGAAGGCAAGAGAGGGAAGUUGAGUGUUUGUGCGUUGUUCCCGGAGCUGAUAAGUUAAUAAAUAUUGAACCUCUUGCCAUCCCCAAAUGUGUCUCGGCUGACUCUCAAUAUAUCAAAAGUACAUACCGUCUAUUUAUUUAUGUCUGCCCUUCAAACCGCUAGAUUCCUUCACUAAGCAGGAAGUUUGUCACGACAGCUGACACCAAAUCUCCUGCUGAGCUGGUUCAGACAGAACUAUCCUCAAUUCACCACGAGGGGGCGCCAACGCAGCAGCUUAGUUCUAUUGUUUCGCUUUUUCAAAGACAGUUUUUCUCUUCACAAAAGGACAACUUAACUGAAUAAUGCACUUUCAUAGUAAUUGUUUUUAAUCCGUGUUAAUGUUCUGAACAAUGACUACUAAAGGUUCUGUAAGGUUGUCCCACAUACUAUGGAUUUUAAGUUUUUUAUCAAGGUGUUAAAACGUACCAUCUAUUUUCUGCUGAAAGUUGCCAGUCCUGUGUUUUAUGUCUAGCAAUUUGUACAGUUUCUUCAGUAUGGCACAUAAACACAUGCCAUCAUCUACAGUAUGAGAAUCUCCUCCAGAACUCUGCAUUUCCUCAAGAUUUUUUUGUAAUAUUACAUAGGUGCAUCUCAUGAACCUUAAUUUGCCAAGCAUGUAUUGACUGGGCACAGUACAGUGGUGCAAUUUCUGACAAUGAAAGAACAUCAUGGACCCCUACUCCCCAUUCCUUAACCCGAUCGAGGGGCUCUGCUCAGCAUGGAGUUAGAAGGCUUACGAUCGCUAGCCACAUGCUCAGAUGGCCCUGCUGUCUGACAUGAAUGCAGCAUGUGAGGACAUUACAGCAGAUGCCUGCAGAGGCAGGUAAGACAUUAGAAAAGAUUCCUUUUUUUCUUAUAUUUUAUUCUUUCUGUUUUUUCUUAUGUACAAAUACAUAAGUGCACAUUAGGAUGCUUUUUCACUAUUACGUAAGUUCCCAUGUGAACAGCCAAUCAGAUCAGCCUGAUGUGUGUCUUGUUCCUCUCUGUUUCCUGCCCUUUCAUCCCGACCACGACCAUGAUCUCUCACUUAGCAGCAGAGCAGUUUAUUCUAAACAGUGGAACCGCAAAGAUGUUCAGACUCUUUGGUCUUCUCAUUUUCAUUAGUAGGGUUCUAUACUAUUAAAUCAUAUUUUGGGGGGAUUUUUAUAUAUCCUGUACGAUGUGAUUAGUGUAAUAAGUAUUUGGCCAUUUAAUCUUCAUCAUAUGUAAUAGGUAUUCUGAUUAUUAUUAUGAUAUUUAUUUAUUUGUUUGUUUGUUUAUUCAUUUGUGUUUCUCUCUUUUUCCAGACACUUCACUGGCUGUGGAUGUUGUUCAGCCCAGCUACCUGAUGAGGGUCCAGCAUGGAGACAGUGUGACCCUGACAUGCUUCCGUCCAGAAGAUAUUUCUUUUGCAGUUUGGUUUUAGCAAGCUGCUGGUCAGAAGCCCCAGCUCAUCGCGAAAGCACUUCUCUACGUACCUGGUGAAUUUUACAAGGAAUAUAAAAACAUAAAACGUUACUCCUUACUGAAUGCAGAGGGGAGUUUUAACCUCACUAUUUCUAACGUGGAGCCGUCAGAUUCUGCAGUGUAUUAUUGCGCUGCUCUGUUCUAUAAUGAAAUCGCAUUUGGAAAUGGAACCUUUGUCAUAAUCACAGAUAAAUGAGAUUCCAACUA